UACAGAGGGUGCAAGCGUUGUUCGGAAUUACUGGGCGUAAAGCGCGUGUAGGCGGUUUGAUAAGUCAGACGUGAAAUCCCUCAGCUCAACUGAGGAACUGCGUUUGAAACUAUUAGGCUAGAGUAUCGGAGGGGAUGGCGGAAUUCCCGGUGUAGAGGUGGAAUUCGUAGAUAUCGGGAGGAACACCUGUGGCGAAGGCGGCCAUCUGGAAGAUUACUGACGCUGAGACGCGAAAGCGUGGGGAGCAAACAGG
rnacentral:rRNA from 1 species